AUUUAUAUAAUAUAAAAAGUAUAUAUGACUUCCAAUCAUAAAGUUUAAGAUUUAAUAUAAAUA
rnacentral:tRNA from 1 species